rfam:Triticum aestivum genome assembly, contig: Triticum_aestivum_CS42_TGACv1_scaffold_049766_1BS
CAACUACUCGCCCUGUCCCAAAUUUCUUGUCUUAGAUUUUUCUAGAUACGGAUGUAUCUAAUACUAAAAUGUGACUUGAUACAUCCGUAUCUAGAUAAAUCUAAGACAAGAAUUUUGGACAGAUGGAGUACUUU